UACGGAGGAUCCAAGCGUUAUCCGGAUUUAUUGGGUUUAAAGGGUGCGUAGGCGGCUUUUUAAGUCAGGGGUGAAAGACGGUAGCUUAACUAUCGCAGUGCCCUUGAUACUGAAGAGCUUGAAUAUAGUUGAGGUAGGCGGAAUGUGACAAGUAGCGGUGAAAUGCAUAGAUAUGUCACAGAACACCAAUUGCGAAGGCAGCUGUCUAAACAUGGAUUGACACUGAUGCACGAAAGCGUGGGGAUCAAACAGG
rnacentral:rRNA from 1 species